AUCAACCUCUGGGGGCGCUUUGAUUUUAAAGAUUAAAAGCUGAGAUAGCAUAUUGCUUGUCCCGUUGAACUUGAACUGGGUAAUUCCAGCGUAAGGAAGAGAAUUGUAAAUAAU
rnacentral:ncRNA from 2 species